rnacentral:rRNA from 1 species
UACGUAGGGGGCAAGCGUUGUCCGGAAUCAUUGGGCGUAAAGAGCGUGUAGGCGGCCCGGUAAGUCCGCUGUGAAAGUCGGGGGCUCAACCCUCGAAUGCCGGUGGAUACUGUCGGGCUAGAGUGCGGAAGAGGCGAGUGGAAUUCCUGGUGUAGCGGUGAAAUGCGCAGAUAUCAGGAGGAACACCAAUUGCGAAGGCAGCUCGCUGGGACGUUACUGACGCUGAGACGCGAAAGCGUGGGAGCAA